rnacentral:rRNA from 1 species
AGAGUUUGAUCAUGGCUCAGAUUGAACGCUGGCGGCAGGCCUAACACAUGCAAGUCGAGCGGUAGCACAGAGAGCUUGCUCUCGGGUGACGAGCGGCGGACGGGUGAGUAAUGUCUGGGAAACUGCCUGAUGGAGGGGGAUAACUACUGGAAACGGUAGCUAAUACCGCAUAAUGUCGCAAGACCAAAGUGGGGGACCUUCGGGCCUCAUGCCAUCAGAUGUGCCCAGAUGGGAUUAGCUAGUAGGUGGGGUAAUGGCUCACCUAGGCGACGAUCCCUAGCUGGUCUGAGAGGAUGACCAGCCACACUGGAACUGAGACACGGUCCAGACUCCUACGGGAGGCAGCAGUGGGGAAUAUUGCACAAUGGGCGCAAGCCUGAUGCAGCCAUGCCGCGUGUGUGAAGAAGGCCUUCGGGUUGUAAAGCACUUUCAGCGGGGAGGAAGGCGGUGAGGUUAAUAACCUCAUCGAUUGACGUUACCCGCAGAAGAAGCACCGGCUAACUCCGUGCCAGCAGCCGCGGUAAUACGGAGGGUGCAAGCGUUAAUCGGAAUUACUGGGCGUAAAGCGCACGCAGGCGGUCUGUCAAGUCGGAUGUGAAAUCCCCGGGCUCAACCUGGGAACUGCAUUCGAAACUGGCAGGCUAGAGUCUUGUAGAGGGGGGUAGAAUUCCAGGUGUAGCGGUGAAAUGCGUAGAGAUCUGGAGGAAUACCGGUGGCGAAGGCGGCCCCCUGGACAAAGACUGACGCUCAGGUGCGAAAGCGUGGGGAGCAAACAGGAUUAGAUACCCUGGUAGUCCACGCCGUAAACGAUGUCGAUUUGGAGGUUGUGCCCUUGAGGCGUGGCUUCCGGAGCUAACGCGUUAAAUCGACCGCCUGGGGAGUACGGCCGCAAGGUUAAAACUCAAAUGAAUUGACGGGGGCCCGCACAAGCGGUGGAGCAUGUGGUUUAAUUCGAUGCAACGCGAAGAACCUUACCUGGUCUUGACAUCCACAGAACUUUCCAGAGAUGGAUUGGUGCCUUCGGGAACUGUGAGACAGGUGCUGCAUGGCUGUCGUCAGCUCGUGUUGUGAAAUGUUGGGUUAAGUCCCGCAACGAGCGCAACCCUUAUCCUUUGUUGCCAGCGGUCCGGCCGGGAACUCAAAGGAGACUGCCAGUGAUAAACUGGAGGAAGGUGGGGAUGACGUCAAGUCAUCAUGGCCCUUACGACCAGGGCUACACACGUGCUACAAUGGCAUAUACAAAGAGAAGCGACCUCGCGAGAGCAAGCGGACCUCAUAAAGUAUGUCGUAGUCCGGAUUGGAGUCUGCAACUCGACUCCAUGAAGUCGGAAUCGCUAGUAAUCGUAGAUCAGAAUGCUACGGUGAAUACGUUCCCGGGCCUUGUACACACCGCCCGUCACACCAUGGGAGUGGGUUGCAAAAGAAGUAGGUAGCU